UACGAGGGGGGCGAGCGUUGUUCGGAAUUAUUGGGCGUAAAGGGUGCGUAGGCGGUUCCGCAAGUCCUGUGUGAAAUCUUCGGGCUCAACUCGAAGUCUGCACGGGAAACUGCGGGGCUUGAGUGUGGGAGAGGUGAGUGGAAUUCCCGGUGUAGCGGUGAAAUGCGUAGAUAUCAGGAGGAACACCGGUGGCGAAGGCGGGUCUCUGGGCCGUUACUGACGCUGAGGAGCGAAAGCGUGGGGAGCGAGCAGG
rnacentral:rRNA from 1 species